rnacentral:rRNA from 1 species
UACAGAGGUGCCAAGCGUUAGGCGGAAUCACUGGGCUUAAAGCGCGUGUAGGCGGGUCGUUAAGUGUCCGAGUGAAAUCCCACGGCUCAACCGUGGAACUGCCGGGCAUACUGGCGAUCUUGAGGCAUUCAGGGGCGAGCGGAACAAAUGGUGGAGCGGUGAAAUGCGUUGAUCUACAGAGGAACACCAAAAAAGGCGAAGGCAGCCAACUAUUCUAUUCCUGACAUUGAGGCAUGAAAGCGUGGGGAGCAAACCGG